CUACGUGCCAGCAGCCGCGGUAAUACGGAAGGUCCAGGCGUUAUCCGGAUUUAUUGGGUUUAAAGGGAGCGUAGGCGGAUUGUUAAGUCAGCGGUUAAAGGGUGUGGCUCAACCAUGCAUUGCCGUUGAAACUGGCGAUCUUGAGUGCAGACAGGGAUGCCGGAAUUCGUGGUGUAGCGGUGAAAUGCUUAGAUAUCACGAAGAACUCCGAUCGCGAAGGCAGGUGUCCGGGCUGCAACUGACGCCGAGGCUCGAAAGUGUGGGUAUCAAACAGGAUUAGAUACCCUGGUAGUCCACACAGUAAACGAUGUAUACUCGCGGUUUGCGAUAGACAGUAAGCCGCCAAGCGAAAGCAUUAAGUAUACCACCUGGGGAGUACGCCGGCAACGGUGAAACUCAAAGGAAUUGACGGGGGCCCGCACAAGCGGAGGAACAUGUGGUUUAAUUCGAUGAUACGCGAGGAACCUUACCCGGGCU
rnacentral:rRNA from 1 species